AUUGAACGCUGGCGGCAUGCCUUACACAUGCAAGUCGAACGGCAGCGGACCUUCGGGUGCCGGCGAGUGGCGAACGGGUGAGUAAUGCAUCGGAACGUGCCAUUGAGUGGGGAUAACGUAGCGAAAGUUACGCUAAUACCGCAUAAGCCCUGAGGGGGAAAGCAGGGGAUCGCAAGACCUUGCGCGAAUGGAGCGGCCGAUGUCAGAUUAGCUAGUUGGUGGGGUAAAGGCCUACCAAGGCGACGAUCUGUAGCGGGUCUGAGAGGAUGAUCCGCCACACUGGGACUGAGACACGGCCCAGACUCCUACGGGAGGCAGCAGUGGGGAAUUUUGGACAAUGGGCGCAAGCCUGAUCCAGCCAUGCCGCGUGUGGGAUGACGGCCUUCGGGUUGUAAACCACUGUCGGAAGGGACGAAUGCCCCGCAAGGGGAGUGACGGUACCUUCAAAGGAAGCACCGGCUAACUCCGUG
rnacentral:rRNA from 1 species